AUUGAACGCUGGCGGCAUGCCUUACACAUGCAAGUCGAACGGCAGCGGGGGAGAAGCUUGCUUUUCCUGCCGGCGAGUGGCGAACGGAUGAGUAAUACAUCGGAACGUGCCCUGUAGUGGGGGAUAACUAGUCGAAAGAUUAGCUAAUACCGCAUACGACCUGAGGGUGAAAGUGGGGGACCGCAAGGCCUCAUGCUAUAGGAGCGGCCGAUGUCUGAUUAGCUAGUUGGUGGGGUAAAGGCCUACCAAGGCGACGAUCAGUAGCUGGUGUGGGGGGACGAUCAGCCACACUGGGACUGAGACACGGCCCAGACUCCUACGGGAGGCAGCAGUGGGGAAUUCUGGACAAUGGGCGAAAGCCUGAUCCAGCAAUGCCGCGUGUGUGAAGAAGGCCUUCGGGUUGUAAAGCACUUUUGUCCGGAAAGAAAUGGCUCUGGUUAAUACCUGGGGUCGAUGACGGUACCGGAAGAAUAAGGACCGGCUAACUACGUGCCAGCCGCCGCGGUAA
rnacentral:rRNA from 1 species